ACGCUCGACACCUAUGGGAGGCAGCAGUAGGGAAUCUUCCACAAUGGACGCAAGUCUGAUGGAGCAACGCCGCGUGAGUGAAGAAGGUUUUCGGAUCGUAAAGCUCUGUUGUUGGUGAAGAAGGAUAGAGGUAGUAACUGGCCUUUAUUUGACGGUAAUCAACCAGAAAGUCACGGCUAACUACGUGCCGGCAGCCGCGGUAAUCUGAGCGGGCUGGCAAGGC
rnacentral:rRNA from 1 species